CCGCCUAAGAUGCAGGCAUGCAUAGGCUCUGGGCAGAAAAAACAAGUUACUGAGGUCUCAGGGCGAGGUGGGGGCCCCAGAGGACGCCGGGCUGUGGAUGUGGCACUGUCAGAGUCCUCACACAGGGACACAGCACAGCCACGGCUCGGGGAGGGCGAUGUCCUAAAGGCAGUGAGGAUAUCUUACUUUAUUUUGUUUGUUUGUUUUUGAGGCAGGGUCUCGCUCUGUAGUCCAGGCUGGCCUCUAUCUUGCAGCAGUCCUCCUGCCUCAGCCUCCUGAGUGCUGGCAUUACAGGCAAGCACCACCACACCCAGCUGAGGAUAUUUUAAAUGGGAAAGCACUUGCCUAGAAUGUGUGAGGACUGGGAUUCCAUCCCCAGCAACAAAGGAAAAAGAAGUUUGGAGAAAAUGGUCCGAAAAUGACUGAAGAUAAACUCCACACAUAAGUCCCUGACCCUUGGACACCGCAGUCUUCAGAGGCUGGGCCACACACAGCAGGCACAGAGGCCCAGAGAGGGCCAUGGCUGGGACAGAGCCAGCCCGGAGCAUCCCCCUCAGCUCUGAGCGCCUCCUCCAGCCCCGGCCUGGGUUCUGAACCUCCUGGCCUGGGUUCGGAACCUCCUGGCCGCAGAGCAGUGUUUGGUGCUAGAGAAGGUUCUGAAGGACACUGGGCAGUCAUUGCUGCAGCCUGCAGGAAUUGCUUUGCUCUUGGACAGAGAGCCCAACCCGGCUGCCAUGGGAAGUUGCCCCCCUCUGCAGCCCCCACUUCCUCUGGGCCGGGAUGGGGCGCCUGCUGUCUCCCGCCUGCCGGCUCCCCAUCUGUGUCGAGGAGGGGUCCGCAUGAGUCAGGCCAACGCGGUUUCCUGUGGAGCUCGGUUUUCCCGCAUUGUUUCAGCCUGUGUCUGCACACGCACUCCUACUGCCCUGGGAGCCCCUGUGCAAACCCCCAGGAGGGGGCGGGGGCUCCAGGUGCUGGGCUGGUGUCGUCCCCACCCCUGUGGUGGCAGAGACCUGCUCGGCCUGCUCUCCAGCCAGUGGUAGGCUGGCUUUCUAUGUAGCCCAGGCUGGUCUUGAACUCACAGUGAUCCUCCAGCCUCAGCCUCCCAAGAUCUGCGAUUAUAGGUGUGCAAACCAUGCCUGGCAUUUGCAGGGUCUUUGAAGCCGGCCGGCCCUGGGUUCAAAUCCUGACAAGCCCUGGUCACCUCAAGCCAGGCUCAAGCACGGUCAGAGGUGAGGGCGAGCGGGCGCAGUGUCCCACGUUCUCCUCGUGCAACUGGGAACCAGGCCUGGAAAAGGCAACUGCUCUGUGACAGUGCGCCUCCUGCCAGGCCUGCAUCGCCACCAGCAUUGCUUGCUCUCAGACUGUCCCCCGGGGACCUUCAGUCAACCCCUGGGGUUGCACAGAGUGGACACCGCCCCGGUGCUGAGAGCUGACUAUCAUCACGAGCUCUGCCGAGAGUUUCCAAAGACAGAAGGAAGUUGCAGGUGGGCGUGGGGGUGCACACCUGUUAUCCCAGCACCGGGAGGCUGAGGCAGGAGGAUCGCUGUGAGUUGGAGGCCAGCCUGGGCUUCAUAGCGAGACCCUGUCUCAAAAAGCAAAGGGAGAAAGGAGAAACAUGGGCACCUCAGUCUUCCUCAGCUCUGCCCGGCUCCUCUGCCCCUUCAGACCUGCUCCCUGUGAACUCAGUCCUGUGAUGUCCCCGUUGAUCCUUGGAACCUGGGGUUGCCCUCUGCUGCUGGGGGAAGUGCCAGGGACAGAGAACAUUAGCUGCUUUUCCGACCAGCCUCUCUGUGUCCCCUGCUGCAUCAGACUUGGCUUGUUUUGACCCCGACUCCCUUCAGGUCUGGUCACCAGCCUGUGCUGGGAGCAGCAGGGGCUACGGGCAGAGAACACAGUGUCGCCUGCCUGCAGGCAACCGAGUCCAGGGUGCCCUUGUUAAAACAGGCUGGGUCCUUCCCUCACUCACUCAUUCACUCAACAAACACUGGAGGUGCGGAGGAGAGACCCUGCCUGGGGUGUCCUUCCUGAUGUGCAGGGGGCAGAGCUGAAGGAGGCAGUGUCCACUAGGGGGUCAGAGCACCGUGCUGAGGGAGGCCGGGUGGGGGGUACCUGCUUGGCUCCAGCCUUCUUAAGGUGUAAUUUACCUGCCCGCUGGGGUAGAUAAUCCGUUAAAUCACCAGAGCUCUGCAGUCACCACCUCCGUUGGGCUCCCCACAGAGCCCCCUGCUCAGUACAGAGAAAAGCAAAAAUGAGUGGGGUCCUGCAGCACGGGCCUCCAUCCCACUUCCUCGGGAGGCUGAGGCAGGAGGACCACGAAUUCAAGCCCAGUCUGGGCAACUUAGUGACUUAGCAAGAUCCUGUCUCAAAAAUAAAAAGGGCUGAGGACAUAGCACAGUGCAAAGGGCCUGGGUUUGAGGCUAGUACCCGACCCCCCCAGGAACCAGUCUAAAGCAGUUGCUCUACAGAUGGAGAAACUGAGUCCCGGAGAGGACAGCGGCCCUGCCAGGAGUGGUGCUGAUUCCCAGCUCAGCAGGGUGAGGGGAAACCAUGGCUCUUCUGGGGCCGUGGCCAGAGGCUUAACCUUGGCAGGCCUCAGUUUCCCCAUGGGCUGGUGUUCGGAUCGCCCAGGGCCCAGGCAAGACGAAGCGCAGUGCUGGCGGUGGCCGGGCCGUUUCGCCACAUCCCGUCCCCCGUGUGCCUUGGCAACUUGGAGUGGGAAGCAGUGAGUCAACAGCCACCAGCCAGGCACCGGGGCACAGGCGGCUCUCGAAGAAUGCGGUGAUGGAGCAACCAGCCUUGCUCAAGGCGGCCAGGCCGCCGUCCCUCCUGCAGCCGGGUUGCCCAACCGGCCCACAGCGGGGUUUCAUCAGUGGCCCUCCAGGUCACGCAGGACGGCUGGCUCCGCAGGGCUGGGCAGGGCAGGGACACCUGGCAAGAAGCCACCUGAUGUCCCUGAGUGCCUGCUGGGUGCCAGACCCUGUGGAGCUCAGCAGCAACCGAGACCAGGGCCUUGCCGAGAAGGCCGAGUGGGGACAUGGGGCAUGGACCGAACCGCGACUCAGGCUUGGAGAAGACACGGCCUAGGGCUCAGGCCUCACAGCGGUGUCCUAUCCCUCGCCAGGCCCCAGGGCAGAGUGGCGCCUCCCAUCACUGCCACUGGAGCCAGCUUCCUCCCUGUCCUGACACAGGAGGCCCCGGAGGGCAGGGACACCAAGGAGGCCACUCGCUGUCUGUGUCUGGGGCCGGCCAAAGCCCCGGGCCGUGGGACACCUGGCCCCUGCUACCUGCUGAAUGAUGGGAGGGCUGCCAGCUUGGCCUUAGCUUUGCACGAUGCUUGGGCUAGGCUGUGCUGGGGACCUGGGGCUGUGCAGACGGACACGCCAGGUGACAUCCCCUGGCCUGGGUGUAACCCUCAGCCCAGGGCCGAGGCCACCAGCUCAGUGACCACCAGGCCCACAAGCCUCGGCCCACUGCCUGCCACAUGCACCCAAGGCCAUUCCGAAAUGCUGGGGGCUGAGUCACUUGUGACAGACAGGGGUCCAAGUGGCUCCUGGACCUGCAGCCUGGGAAGGCUGAGAUCCAGGGCCCAAAUCUGGUGAGUGGGGGAGUGUGGGGCUAUGACAUGGUGCAGGAUGUCACCUGGGGAGAGGCAGG
ensembl:lncRNA